rnacentral:lncRNA from 1 species
UUUUAUUCCAAGAAGAGAUCACUGGGGUGAAGACGGUAUAUCUUUGAAAUCACUAAAGAAAAACUCAGUCUGUAACUUCUGUGAUGAUGAUGAUUAUGAUAAUGACCAUGAUGAUGAUUAGAGGAGGAGGAGGAAGAACAGAAAGAAAAGGAGGAGGAUAAGAAAGAGAGGGAGAAUCUAACACAGAUGGAAUACAUCCGGUGUGGGAGGCCAGACCCUGCAUAUAUUAGCUCCUUUAGCCCUCAUGACAGCAUAGCCUUGUAGGUGCUGUUGCUGGCUCUACUUUGUAGGAUGAAGAGCUGCCAUGUGGCCCCAAGGGUUCUGGGUUCAAAUUCUCACAUUUCUCUAGGCAAGUUGCUUGAGCUUCUGGGAUUAAGUGAAUCCAUACUGAGAACAGUAUCUUGCACACAGUAAGAGCUACAUAUGUGUUGGCCAUUAGUAUUAUUUCAGAGAAGUAAACCAAGGCAAAGGGAGGCAGAUAACCUGUCCACGUUUACACAAAGAGUAAGAAGCUGGCUAGCUUUAACCCUAACCUGCGGGCUCCACAGCCUCCAGGCUUGACAAGCCGUGCUUUCGUUCUUCGUGGAAAAAGGCUGAGAAUCUGCUGAAUUAAAAAAGUCCUGUUUGUUGGCUUUGAACUGAUGCCUCUCAGAUCUCUGUCUAGGGAAAGCACAAUCAAUGAUAGCCCCAGAUGCUACACUCUAAAUCCAGUCCCACAGUUGAGC